rnacentral:tRNA from 1 species
AGAAAAGUAAGCUAAAAGUAAGCUAGUGGGUUCAUACCCCAUUCAUGGAGAUUCUUCUCUCUUCUCUA